rnacentral:lncRNA from 1 species
GCAAUCAGCGAGACUCCGUGGGCGUAGGACCCUCCGAGCCAGGUGCGGGAUAUAAUCUCGUGAUGCACCGUUUUUUAAGCCCGUCAGAAAAGCGCAGUAUUCGGGUGGGAGUGACCCGAUUUUCCAGGGAGAUGAACCCGGUACCUCAGAUGGAAAUACAGAAAUCACCCGUCUUCUGCGUCGCUCACGCUGGGAGCUGUAGACCGGAGCUGUUCCUAUUCGGCCAUCUUGGCUCCUCCCCUCCGAAAAAUAACUUUCUAAAGCAGGCAGAGAGCAAGAGCAAGAGAGAAAGAAAACCUACAGGCAAGAAGAAGAAGAAGGAGGAGGAGGAGGAAGAGGGGAGGAGGAGGAGGAGGAGGAACCAGUGGUGGCUGUCUUUUUCCCUCAUAUGAGAGAAGGGAUGAGGAAGUUCUCUAGGACCUCCUUUAUAAAGGUGCGAGGAAUUUUGUCCAAAUUAGAGAGGCUUUGUUACCCAGAACUUGGAAUUCUCACACAGAUUUGACCAAGUCAGGUAAAAUUGGUCAAAUCUGAUGGGUGAAAAUCCAGAACAAACAACAACAAUAAAAACCCCACAAUAUGAUCACUGGGUGCUCUAAUGGUAAGUAGAAAUUAAGACCAGCUGGUUAUUAAACUUUAGCCAAGACAAAACCCCAAUUCAGGUACUUACCUAGGGAUGGGUCUCAGGCUGAAGACUGCUUUCUACCAUUCUAGAAGCAGGGAAAAAAAAAAAGAGAGAUCUCAAACUCAUCUUCCCUGCUGAAAGGGAGCUCAAACUCCAUAAAGAAGUUACCUGCCUUUCAUUGUGAUGGAUACAGGAAGUCUCUCCUUCCUUGUUGGGAGCAAGUAAAACUCCAAAAAAGAAGGGAGGUGUACAGCAAAAUAAACUUUAGAUCUUGACCAAAUUUUUGGAGAUCAGAGAUUCUCUGGAGGGGAUGCUCACAGACCUCUGCAAAUUCUCCCACUGGUUUGAGCCAUACCAGUGAGAGGAGGUACCAGCUGGGCUUCCUGGGUCGAGUAGGGGCUCAGAAAGCUGUGAAACUUACUCAUUUCCUGCAUCAGGACUUACUUCAGUCCUGGAUGAAUAAUAUUGAAGAUAUAUGCUUAAAAUAUUCCUAACACCAGGACUUGUGCAUGUGUUUUCUUCC